GAUCCAGCCAUGCCGCGUGUGUGAAGAAGGCUUCGGGUUGUAAAGCACUUUCAGUGAGGAAGAAGGCCUUGGGGCUAAUACCCCCGAGGAAGGACAUCACUCACAGAAGAAGCACCGGCUAACUCCGUGCCAGCAGCCGCGGUAAUACGGAGGGUGCGAGCGUUAAUCGGAAUUACUGGGCGUAAAGCGCGCGUAGGCGGCGUGAUAAGCCGGUUGUGAAAGCCCCGGGCUCAACCUGGGAACGGCACCCGGAACUGUCAGGCUAGAGUGCAGGAGAGGAAGGUAGAAUUCCCGGUGUAGCGGUGAAAUGCGUAGAGAUCGGGAGGAAUACCAGUGGCGAAGGCGGCCUUCUGGACUGACACUGACGCUGAGGUGCGAAAGCGUGGGUAGCAAACAGGAUUAGAUACCCUGGUAGUCCACGCCGUAAACGAUGUCGACUAGCCGGUUGGGGUCCUUGAGACCUUUGUGGCGCAGUUAACGCGAUAAGUCGACCGCCGUGGGGAGUACGGCCGCAAAGGUUA
rnacentral:rRNA from 1 species